AUCCCAUGAAGAGGGCACUUACGAAGUAAUUCUUUGAAUCUCUCCCAUGCCUCAUACAAAGAUUCGUCAUCCAAUUGUUGAAAAGUGGUUAUCUCAUUUUGCAACU
rfam:Gossypium raimondii chromosome 9, whole genome shotgun sequence.